CACGUAGGGCGCAAGCGUUGUCCGGAAUUAUUGGGCGUAAAGAGCUCGUAGGUGGUUUGUUACGUCUGCUGUGAAAUCCUAGGGCUUAACCCUGGGCUUGCAGUGGAUACGGGCAGACUAGAGGUAGGUAGGGGAGAAUGGAAUUCCUGGUGUAGCGGUGAAAUGCGCAGAUAUCAGGAGGAACACCGGUGGCGAAGGCGGUUCUCUGGGCCUUACCUGACACUGAGGCGCGACAGCGUGGGGAGCAAACAGG
rnacentral:rRNA from 1 species